GGGGAUUCAGAAUUUAUGUACAACACAUCUCGAACUUUUCUUUUUCCUCCUGAAGGAGCACCACUCAAGGAUGAUGUAAAUUUACUAUGCUACUCACCUAGUAGAAAGAAAGAAAGAAUAAUACCAUUCUCUUGGCAUGUCUCUCUAUGGAAUACCUGCUGCCUUUCUUUGGUGUCAUGUCAACAGUGUGUGAAAGAUGUCUCAUUUGUUUGAGAGUUAGGAAUUCUACAGGGAGUAGAUUAGAAUAGAGUAGCAUGAAAUGGAAAGAAACUCAUAUGAAAGAAUAACUUUGUAAAAAUUGUUUUGUCUUUUAG
rnacentral:lncRNA from 1 species